rnacentral:rRNA from 1 species
GACAGAGGGUGCAAACGUUGCUCGGAAUUACUGGGCGUAAAGCGCGUGUAGGCGGUUCCGCAAGUCAGGUGUGAAAGCCCAGGGCUCAACCCUGGAAGUGCACUUGAUACUACGGAGCUUGAGUACUGAAGAGGAGAGCGGAAUUCCCGGUGUAGAGGUGAAAUUCGUAGAUAUCAGGAGGAACACCGGUGGCGAAGGCGGGUCUCUGGGCAGUAACUGACGCUGAGGAGCGAAAGCGUGGGGAGCGAACAGG